AAACAAAAAAAAAAAACAACAAAACACAACACAAAGAUGCUGUAAGAUGUAAGGCGAGAUAUGUUACUUCUUGAAGACCCAGUUGAGCUCCCUGUUGAACUUGCCUAAUCUUCCCCUCAUUUACUGCCAGCCUGCAGCACAUUACAGCUUCUCACGCUCCCAUCACUAUUCUAUUACUCUUCAUUACAGUGAGCAAUUUGCAUACCUUAACCAACUGUAUAAUGGGCUAUAAAAAUACGAUUAGAGGGCGGUAACUACUUUCUCAGGUUUCAUCCCACGAUCGAUCAAUCAGCAAUGUGACUUUGAUUCUGGAGGUCAAAGCUCCACAGGGUCUGAUAGUGUCCACCUCAGAGUAAGAGCUCUCCACCUACUUUAAACGUCAACAUUUCCUUAAUUUACUGAUGUUUUCUCACAAAUAAAAGAAUUAAGUUAAAUGUCAGUAUUUGCUGCUGAUUCAAAUAGGGUUUUAUUAAGGAAAAACUAACAUUUUAAAAGGAUCUGUUAAUUCGCUGGUUGCUGUGGUGAUUCCCGCUUUUUCUGAGGCGCAGUGGGGAGGCGGAGCUACAGUAUAUUUAUUUUCAACGGGAAUUUAGGCCAAAAACAAACAGUAGUAGUGGAAAAACUAUUUGUGGCAUCAAAAACAUUUUAAACCAGCUGGUGAGUAGCAAAGUUUACUAAGAGCCUGAAAUUAUUUUAUUCAAGGGGCCACUGAGCUAGCGGGCUACACCAAUAUAAAGUGCCAAUUUGAUUUUCUUUUAAAAAAUGCAUCCAGCAGUGCUUUGGAAAAGUGUUUUUAACCCCUGACCUUUUCUACAUUUUGUCUCUUUCCAGCCACAAACAUCAACUUACUUUUAAGGGGUUUUAUUUGAUAGACCAACACAAAGAGAUGUGUAACUAAAGCCAAAGGAAAAUAAUACAUGGUUUUCAAGUGUUUUUACAAAUUACAAUUAAAUAAUGUGGUGUAUAUUUAAAUAUACAAUAUUUUGCUCCUUUUAAUGCAGUCGCAGUUUCAAAUCUUUUGGGGUAUAUCUCCACCAGCUUUCUCUUUGUAAAACUGCUUAGGUUCAGUUAGACUGGACGGAGACAAUCCGAACAACUGCUUUCAAGAUUCUCAGUUCGAUUUAGUUCUGGACUUUGACUGGGCCAUUCUACCACGUAAAUAUACUUUGUUGUAAACCCUCCCAUCGUAGCCCCAGCUGUAUGUUUUUCUUCCAGGUUUGUCCUGGAUUUAGCUCCAUCCAUCUUUUCCAUCAAUUCUGACCAACUCCCUUGUCCCUAUUGGAAGAAAGUAUCCCACAGGAGGAUGCUGCCACCACCAUGUUUCAUAGUGGAGAUGGUGUGGUCAUGGUGAUGUGUAGUGCUAGUUUUUGUCCACAUGUUAACCAUAAACUUCAAAGUUGGUCUCCUCUAACCAGAGUACCCUCCUUUACAUGUUUGCUGUGUUCCCUUAAUGGCUUGUGCCAAACUGCAACCAGGAACUCAAUAUGACUUUCUUUUAACCGUGGCUUUUUUCUUCCAUGUCAAGAUUAUUGGAGUCUACAAAUAUUAUUCUGUCAGCUGAGUAUACAAUUAUUCACAGGUUUUUUGUUAUGUCACAUAAAAUCCCAAUAAAAUAUAUAGAUGUUUUUGGUUGUAAUGUGUAAAACUUAAAGGGGGUUGAAUAAUUUAGCAGGGCACUGUAUGUGAAACUGAUGUUUUUGUUUGAAAUGCAUCAAAAAUUUAAAUGUAUGAGUUAUAAGUGAAAUGCUGGUGUUCCGCUUGGCGUUUAGGUCCUACUCUGUACGCUGCUCCCUAGGGAUGUCCUAAUGAGACAUGGCAUCGGUUUUCAUAGCUUGCAUUAGAGCUGAAACAAUUAAUCGAUUAAAAUCGAUUAUUAAAAUAGUUGUCAACUAAUUUAGUCAUCGAUUAGUUGCUUUGUAAUCACGUUUUGCCGUAUGAGGUGUAUUUUUUAACAGCCUGUUACAUUUGUGGCCAAUGUGUGGCAGUAACGAGCCACCGAACACUGUGAUCUACCGUUAGAGCAGUAGAAGAAGAAAUCAGCUACUAGUUGGCCUUGUUUUGCAUGACGUUCCAUGCGACUGAAUCUUUACGAACAAACACACGAGUUUAGUGCGAAACACAGUUGCAUUGAGCUAGAUGGCGGAGCACGAAAAGUUACGGGAGAAAAGGGGAACAAACAGAAGAAAAAACACGAACAAAGACAUCGAAAGUAUGGGAGCACUUCACCCUAGAUGCAGUAAACAGACGAGUGACCUGCAAGAUAUGCACAAACGGUCUGGCAUGGCACGGAAGCAUGACGUUUCUACAUGAACAAAAAAAAAAAAUAAAUAACUAAAAGAAACUAAACACGCUAAAUACUGUUAAUUAAUUUAAUUCAUGUUAAUUUAAUGUUGCAGACGCGGGCGCUGGUUUGUCAACGACAGUAACGGUAAAUAAUAAUAAUAAAAAAAACGAUUAAUCGAUUAAUACUAAAAAUAAUCGACAGAUUAAUCGAUUAUAAAAAUAAUCGUUAGUUGCAGCCCUACUUUGCAUAUGAUAUUGUGUCUGCUAAUGAUAUGACGCCUGUUUAACUUGAUUUUAAACAUUAAAGCAAUUAUCUUUGGCAAUUAUUGGCUAUAUUGUUUUGAUCUUUAACAUAAAAUCCCAAUAAAAUACAUAAACGUUUUUAACUGUGGCAAAAUGUGUAAAGUUCAACGGAAUGAAAAGUUUUGCAAGAAAAAACGCAAUAUUCAUAUAUAGAAAAUCCUAACUAUUAAUUUAUCUACCUGUCAGAUUAUUAUCUUAUUGUUCACAAAUAAUGACAGAAUAAUUCAAUCAAAACAGAAUGUCAUUUUUUAUGUUGACUUUUGUAAAUCAAUUAGCUCCCAUAUUUAUCCAGCUCCUGUUAAUUCUCACUCUGCCUCUUCAUUGUUUCUUCCAUCCUGCUACGCUUUGCUUCACCAUACCUUCCUACCUCUGCCCUCUUUGUGUCCGCCUCAUUUUCAAUUAGCCACCAAGCGAGAAAUUAUUUAAUCAGCCGUUUAUUCCAUUACCACCUCCUUUAAUGUGUGUCGAGCAAACAAAGACUAACAGACAAACAAAACCAUUGGAUUAAUGAUGAAGGUGACUUGCUCCGUCCAUCUGGGAGAGGUCUUCUGGACAGAUUUUGUUUGGAAUAAAACUGGAAUACCGAGACUCUUGUUGUACUCACUCAUCUCCAUGGCCAGGACUGUGAUGUUGUGCCAGCCCACCUCCUCUCGGUCCAGCGAACGCACCGUCAUGAUCGCCCCGGAAGUGAUUUCAAUGUAAAAGAAUUUGUCAGGGUCACUGGUCCUUUCGAUGGAGUACCUGUAAGCACAAGAUGACAAAUGCAAUAUGUAUCAUCACAUCAGCACUGAAUAAAGUGCACCUCAGCGCGCCUGUAAUCCUAUCUGAGGGCCACCGGGAACUCGUAUCCGAUGCUGCAUGUGGAUGCAUGUGUGUGGUCGGGAGAUAAGGCGUCAGGCUGGCAGCUCCUUGAGGUGCAGCAAAGAGAAAACGUUCCUGAUCGGAGGCUUAAUCAGAGUAUCCGUUCCCUGUGCCAAACAGACGGCAGGGAAACACAAACCUGCAGAGAGCUGCUUUGGCUCGUCUGCUGUCACCGUAGGCCGUUUUCCAAGAAGAGCUCCUCUCAGUGAGCCGAGUGAAAGCCAGAUAUAGAGAGGCAGGAGGAGGACGCUGAGGACAACUGAAUACAAAAAAGAAAAUUAUACCUAUACUGUUUUCUGUUGAAGAGGAUUUUUUUGUCUUUAGGAUUUCACUGCAGGUUCUUUGUGAGAGGUGCAGCCUUGAAACUCGGGCUUCGCAAUAUUACCAAAACAUGACGUUGAAUUUUAGAAUCAGCUGGUGGUAUCAAGGACAGUGAAAUUCUGUUCAACUGACUAUACAUCUGUUGUACAGCUUGAAUGCAUCUCUCUUUAAAUAUAAUAGCCUGCCAAAUAUUGCAGUAGUUUAAUCACACACGGAAAAUCCAACCUUUAAUUGGAGCGAAUUUAUUGUCUGCCUCAAAAUCCCCAGGGCCACAGUUAUUGUCAUCUCUGCUGGAAAUGUUUUGUUGUACUCCUUUAUGCCAAUAGGGCAGCAACAUACAGAACUAUGUGGCAGCAUCUGAAGCCAUAUCUGACCAAAGCACAUGCUUCCAGUAGUAAUGUGUGUGAUGAUAGGACAGAAAAGGCUUUUUCCUGCCAUGCCUCUCAUACAACCAGUCAGCAGAGAUGGCAUCUAAUGGUUGUGAUCCAGGUGACUUCAGGAGGCCACUCUUUGCUGUCGUUCUCUAAUGCAUCUGGAUCUCGGGCCGACAUCGUCUUCACUACCGUCCCGAUCUCUGCGUCUUCUGGAAGCUCGACGUAGUACGACGGUGAGUCGAACUGUGGGGGUUCGUCCACGUCCUCCACACUCACAUG